CUCAACUUCUCCAUGUGUCUUCUCUCGCUUGGGUGCAAUCGAGUCGAGCUCAUCAAUAAAAAUAAUGGACGGGGCAUUCUUCUCUGCCUCCUCGAAAGCCUUCCUCAAGUUGCUUUCACUUUCUCCAGCCAGCUUUGACAUGAUCUCCGGGCCGUUGAUACAGAAGAAGAAGGCACCAGUCUCAUUAGCUACAGCUCGAGCUAUCAGUGUUUUACCAGACCCGGGAGGACCAUAGAGCAAAAUACCUUUCGGUGGUUUCACACCGAUGGAUUUGAACAACUGAGGAUGCCUGAGAGGAAGCUCUACCAACUCUCUAAUCUGGGCCAUUUGUUUCCUCACUCCACCCACAUCAUCAUAGCCAACCUCGUCCAGUCUGUUCUCAUCCUCCCGUUUUACAGGCUCACCCUCGCAAAAGAUCUCGGUGUCAGGAGAGACAACACAAUACUCCGGUGGAUCAGUUUCGAUGACCUUGAAUUCGACACUCCUCAUACCACCCCUGACAAGGAAGAGAUCGCCUUUACGCACAGGACGGUAUGCCUCCAUGAAAUAUGGCUUCAAAUACGCAUCAAAGAGAUUCCCAGUAACACCCUCAAUGGUGUCAUCAACCGGCAAUAUAUGCACACGCUUCCCAUACUUCACAUCCUGGCACUGGUGCACCGAAAUCACAUCGCCAAGCCUAACCCUAAGGUUAGACCUAACAACCUUGUUCAUCUUGAUCUUCGCCGCAUCACAACCAUCAUCAGCCAGUGCAAUGCAAAUCGUGUCUUUCCUCUUCUUCCCCUUCAAGAGGAUGGUGUCACCACGGAACAGCUGCAGCUUCUCCAUCGUCUCGGGAUUCAUCGCCACCACCGAGUUAUCAUCGUUGACCGCCUCGUCGACGACCAGCCGGUUCGGCGACUUCUUCCGCUCCAAGAUCGCUGUGCUGAAGUCCUUCUUCCCGGCCUUGGGAUCGGAGGACGAUGACUCGCCGGGGGUCGCCAUGAUCGGAGUGGGAGAUGAGAUGGGG
rnacentral:misc_RNA from 1 species